rnacentral:lncRNA from 1 species
AUAUUAGAGCUGAUUGUUGCUCACAGCAGCCUUUGGCUGCCCCCGGUGAGACCUCCACAGCUUACCUUAUCAUAAUAUUGGAAAGCAAUUUCUUUUGACUGCUGUGAACCGAAGCCAGAAAUCCAAAAUGCUGCCACGGUCAUUAAGUGAUUUCCAAUUAGUUAAUUGGUUUCACAGGCUGCUUCUUUCUAAACUACACCUUAGAUGAAAAGCAGAACCAUCCAUUUUUGAAAAAGGAAAAAUCCUGGGGCCUGUGGGUUUUAAAAACCCAAAGCAAAGCAGACUUCGGAAGAAAUACCACUAAAAAUACCAGUCCUGAAGAACAGAAAAUGUUGUUAUUAUUCUUAUAGAAAAGAAUGAAUGUCUCUUCUGGCUUUUUUGAAUGGUCUAGGGUUUAUUUUGCCUACUUUAAUUUUGAAUCAAAGGCAGGGAGGUAGAUGAUCACAGCAGCACAGAGCAUGGAGAGUUUCUAGACCAAGACAGAUUCUUCUCUGAGGACACUUCCUGGGCCUCUGUAUUGGGUCUCCGGGGCCAUGUCUGCCUGGCUGCUCCAGGAUGCUCCAUUUAGCCUCACGAGCGGUCAGGCCAAGUCCUGGAGAAUGGUGCUUAAAGAGGCUGCUUUUUGGAAAGGGAAUUGCAUGUGGUUGGGUAUAUGGAUGGACAGAAAGAGCGGAGGGAAAAGUGAGAGAUUGAUCUAGAACAUCUCUAGUCAAUGCGUGUGUUGUUGAUGGUGGGGGCCGUAAACAGGAUUUUUGAGCAAUAGCUGAUUUGCACCAUAGGAUAAUAUUUAUCCAAACAGGGUAAAGAGAGUAAGAAUUGCCCAAUAGGGUAUAUCCGUCAUCUAUCUUCCCUAAUAGAACUUGGCUGUAAUGGUAGAUUAAGUGCCUGAAAAAUGAAUGCAUAUUUUCCUAUAGACAAAAGAGGCAGUCUGUCAAGUAGGAAGCAACAGAGUGGAGUGAUUAAAAGCAGGAACUUGGACCAUGGACUCUGGGAGGAAAUCCUGUCAGUCACUUUCCAGUUGUGUGACUUGGGGCAAGUUGCUGGCUCUUUCUAUGCUUCAGUCUCCUGGGAGACUGGGGAGAGAAGUACCACCCUCAUGUGGUUAUCAUGCAGGGUGCACAAGUAGUUAAAAUCCAUAAGUCCCUUGGAACCAGGCUUGAUAUAUAGUUUGUUGAAGAAACCAAAUUUUAUCAUGUGCCAUGUUUUGAAAGGUUUGCCUUUUUCUCUCUCCAUUGAAAAAACACGCUCCACUUGUAAUUACCCCUGAGAACCAAUACUCAAGAGAAGGCAGUAGCUGAGAUGCUGGUGGCCCAUUCAGUUGGUCACGUGACCAAACCCAGGUUUGACCGCUCGCUGCUCCUAAGCCAGUAAUUCGAGGGGCAGGUUCAGUAGAAAGAAAAGUGCUUUGAUCAGGAGAGCCAGCAAUCUGGGGAGAUGGUGGACUCAGGCCUAGAGUCCAACUCUGAAAAUUCUGCUCAGCCAUGACAGUUUUUAAAGAGGAAAAAGGGGAAGGAAUCAGUGAAUCGAGGCAGGGGAUUAGGUUCUUCAUCAUUAUUCAUUGUGUGCAGACUGGCUGACUCUUCGGAUGUUAUCCUGCCCAAGUGAUCUGCCUGCAGGAUUGCUAAAGGGGCUGCUGGGGGGUAGAGAGCUAGUAUUUUUUAACUGAUUAAUUCUUUCCAAUUUUUUUUUUUUUGUCUUUUCUAGGGCUGCUCAAGCGGCAUAUGGAGGUUCCCAGGCUAGGGGUCUAAUCGGAGCUGUAGCUGCCGGCCUAUGCCAGAGCCACAGCAACUCAGGAUCCAAGCCACGUCUGUAACCUACACCACAGCUCAUGGCAACUAUGGAUCCUUAACCCACUAAGCAAGGCCAGGGAUCGAACCUGCAACCUCAUGGUUCCUAGUCGGAUUCAUUAACCGCUACACCAUGAUGGGAACUUCCGCUUUUUUUUUUAAUAUAAGAAAAGAAUCAACAGGUUAGGCAAGGCUUGGUGUGCAUUCAGAAGAGCUUAAGACAGGAGUUAGUUUCAAUUGCUUAAUGAUCUCAUUCCUAUAAUUAGGUUUUUCUAAAUUUUUAAAAAUUGACAUAGUUGAUUUACAACAUUGUGUUAGAGAAAUUUCUUAAUUUUAGCAGAACUCCACUAUAUCAGUUUUUUUUUUUUUUUUUUUUUUUUUUUUUUUUUGCCACACCCAAGGCAUAUGGAAGUUCCCGGGCUGGGGAUGGAACCUGUGCCAUAGCAGCUACCUGGGCCACUACUGUGACAACACUGCAUCCUUAACCUGCUGAGCCGCAGAAGAACUCCUAAUUAGGUUCUUUUAAGGUUAGAGGGGAACAGAAAUGGGCAGAAAGAAAAGAGGCAAAAGAGCUGCUUUCAGUCAGUCCUUUUGUCAGUCAGCCAUGUUUCCUGCCAUCAGCUCUUUAAGAUAAUUUCUUUCCUCCAAACUCAGCCUGAUCUCUUUGUUAAAGAACAAUGUUUAUGUUAGAGAAGUAGAUCAAAUUGGAAGAGUAGAGGAGGCAGUGACUGGAAUACAGGGUCAGAAAAAGGCAAAGGACCUCAGUGUGUGUAUAUGUGUAUGGAAGAGAGACAGGGAGAGACAGAGAGAUACACACAGAUGGACAGGCACUCAGAGAGACACAGGGACACAGAGAGGACAGCUGGGUAGCCACAGAGAAUCUUUGGUGAGCGGAAGCCCAUGCACCAGAAAGUCAGCACACUGCUGAGAAGGAAAUGAGAGACAAGAGGAAUACAGGAGGCAAUGAAGGGAGCCAGGACAGAAAGCCCUUGACUGGUCUGGUGCCUUUGCGUCUGCUUUAGAAGCAGUUGGUUCAUCAUUUCAGCAGCCUGGAGUCCUUCAGUGAUGACUUUAUGGAUUAAAAUUUAAAACCAAAUUAGAUGUGUUUACAAAAUGGCAUCCACACUGGAUGGAUCCCAUGCUGCCCCUGGGCUCACAGUGAUUCCGGAACUCUGGGGUGUGCUCCUCUGGUAGACGGUCCUGGUGCCCGUUGGUGUGGGGACAGGGACAUGCAGCCACCAUUUUUUCCGUGUUGUUUCCCCCCUGCCUAAAAAUAGCACUUUAGGGUGAUGGGCUGGCACCCACAAAUAAUGGAUUUAUGGGCACAUAUUUCCUGACCUUGGUAGUAAUGCUGGUAGAAAUUUGUCUGCUUUUGGGGUGUGUUUAAAAAAAAUUAUUUUUAAGUUUCCUUGUGGAGCCCAUCCAUUUCAGUCCAAAGCAUGGUUUGAGGAAUACUAAGUCUGAAAUCUCCUAAUCACACAGGACGUUUGAAAUCAUGUGCUUUGAAAGUGAAGUGUUUUCAGGGAUGACAUGUUCCUCUGCCUCUGUCUCCAGCAGCAACACUGUUUCCUACCACCAAGUUAUUUCGGAGAGGGAGGAUCUUUUAUUCCAGGUUUAUGCAAUAGAGGACACAGUGUUUUCUACACAUAUAUUUUUUAGAACAGAAGCUGCUCUUUCAAGUUGUUAAUCAGUAUAAAGGAAAGAAGGCAUCAAAGAGAAUGCUUCUUGGUCCUGUCUAGAGACGGCAAUGCUUUUUCUUGUAAUGAAGUGCAUUGAUGGAUUUAUUUCUAUGGUCCACGAAGAUAGUUAUGACUCAAUAAAUAUUAAAUCAAUCAGCCAAAUAACCUCUCCCUGCCCUCGAGGAACUUAUGAUCUGCUGAGACAAGAUGAAUAACCUGUACCUUUAUCCUUUAAUGUUUUUUGACUUUCUAUUUAUGGGGAAUAAAAUCUCAAGAAUUCCCAUCCAGGGAGUCUGCAGAGGUUUGGGCUAUGAUAUACUUGAAUUCAUUUACAAGCAAUGAGAAGAUUUGGUUGGAGUUGUAACCUGAGCCUUAAUAAUGCUUGUGAAAUUGUUCCUUUAUAGAGUCAAGUGCUAAAAAUAACACCAGGGCUGAAGAAAGUGUGGCUGCUGCUGAUGGUCCAAAGAGGUGUAUGUUGUGUCUCCAAGGCUAGGGAGAGGGGGGCAAGCACACUGGGACAAGACUGUGCAGUCUGCUAAUCACAGGAUUUAAAACCACAAUUCAGUUGCAUGGGAUUCCAUGCUCAUAUGCGUGCUUUUCCAUUUCAGGAGGCAGCAAGAGCCCACAGUAGAGUCCAUGCGCCUCUGAAAGCCUGAUUAAAUGUGUUGGGGCGCACAUGGGAUAUUUUACUCUGGAUAUUAUUUAUAAUGAGACAGGAGCAUCUUGGGGGGAAUGGAAAUGCAUUAAACCCGAACACUUAAUGGAUGAUCUUUUACUUCUCGAGAGGCUGCGUGUUGCUGUGUGGACGCCAGCCGCUCUGGGUAAGCUCUUGGCUUCUUCCUGACCUGCAGUAAAGCUGCUCUCCCGGCUCAAGAUGCAUUAGAAAUAAACAAAAAUGCACUUGUUUGAAUUGAUGCUGAGUGUUAAGCGGUUCCUGGGCUUGUUGUCAGGGUCUCUGCUAAGGGUCGCUAUCCUCCGGUUGUGCUGGGGUUUGGGUGACAGGAGUUUAAAACUAAGUGGGCCUGAAGUUUAACUCCUGGAGGCACUUGGUCCUGUGACUGUUUUUUGGCUCUUGAGCCUUUAGGAGAGCCCUGACCCCAUAGGAGGGAGGGGGCCAUCCUCCCUCAAUGUUUUGUCCCUUCUCACUGCUCUGCCUCUGACCUUGUCCCCUCCACCUGGGAUUUCCUGUCUUCUACUUCGAGAUGUCCCAACUCAACACAUUCUAGAAGAGCCAGCUAAAAUGUUACAAUGGUCUUCCUUGGUGCCUCCCUGAAUGAAUUCUUUCCCUUCUUCCCCAUCCCAAUAAAACACCCAGGGAGCAUAGUAUCCUAGACAGGCAUCGGGUUUGGACCAGUGGAGUCUGAGUUUACAUUUCAGGUCUUACGGAUACUGGCAUGUUUACUUGGUAAGGCUUUCCAUCCUCUUUUGGCCUUACUUUUUCUUAACUGUAAAAUGGGGACAAUGCCACUUAUCUUGGGGGUGGGAGGGGCAUUAAAUGAUGUCACCAGGUACAGGGCUGGGCAGAGAAUGUUCCAUAGAUCUCAAUUCCUUCAUCCUUCAUUAUUUGUCCAGGUAACUGUAAUUCCUGAUCUUGUGGUUGGAGAAUCUGAUGAAAGCCAUGGUGUCUUCUCCAGGGGGGAAAAAAAAUUCAUGCACACAUUUCCAUACAAUUUUUGGAAAUUUAGGGAUUCCCUAAAGUCCAAACAAGAGCCCCUUAAGGGUGGCCAAUCCCUAGGUUCAACCUCCUCCACCAAAUUAGCCACAUUUGCAAGACAUUUGCAGGGUACCCAGAAAGAGACCUGGCACUUAGGAGGGGCCAAACAAACAUGGGUUAAUCUCCCCUUUUCUUAAAUUGCAGUCAGAAGCAAUACCAUGCCUGGAGGAUAUCUUGCUAUAAUUUUUCCUUCUACUUAGUUUUGAGAAGCUGUCAUGGUCAAGUGACAGAAGUACCUCUGAGAGGAGAGUCUAGUCCUUGACUGACAUGUCUUCUAGCUGGCCUGCCAUACCUGCUUUGAACAAAUUUGGCCUUUUCAAAAAAUCUUCCCUUUCUUGUCCAACUCUACCCUGCAGUCCUGUGUGUGCUGCUGUCCAGCCAGGAGACAUGUUUUGCUGACAUCUCUGUCUUCACUCUCUGUAUGGAGUUUACAGCAAUUAUCCUUCGGUUGGUCCCGGUGUCUGUAUUUUGGCAGGCCGCCCUGCCUUCCAUGUGACAAGUGCUUUGCAGACAGUGCAGCUGGAGCUGCGCCAAGCCUAAUGUCACCCUCAUCAGAUGUCACCUGGGUCCAGGGGUUACUUCUACCUGCCCCUUCCCUUCACAGUCUGCCCCUGCAGGUUCCCCUGGCACUAUGUUUAAAAGCACAAAACGAGGUGCAAGCCUGGCUGUGAUCCAGUGUAUCUGAGCAGUGUUAGUCGUGAACCUGGAUAAUUCAGGCACCUCCGGAUGUUUUUAUAGCCCGUGCUACCUGGAUUGGUUUGUCUGGCUGUGUACAGCAAGUAAAUGAACUGGAUAAUCGCCAUAUUUCUAUUCCACUCCGUGCUGUGUAGCCUGCGCCUCUGGAAACAAAAGUUUCCUCUACAACAAAGUCACAAGUGAAGAACAAUUAUGCCCCUGGGGGUGAAUACCUUCAUCAGUGUGCCAAGGGAUGAGGAAGCAAAUUGGCUCAAAAUGUACCUUUUUCCCAUUUGACUUUCACUUGAUAUUUCCACUGAACAGCAACAAGGACAACCACAAAAACCUCUAAACACAAAAACCAAAUCAGUUUCACCACCCUUCCCCCACCCCCACCCCAAAGAAUCA